rfam:Ochotona princeps cont2.37726, whole genome shotgun sequence.
CAGAUCCCUUUGAAAAAAAAAAGCUUAUUUCUUGGACAACAUUACUAACAGCAAAGUGUCAUAAAACUGCGAGGCGCAGCCCUUGGCUUGUUUAACCUUUUGUCACAGCAUCUAUACCAGGGAAUGCUGCAUGUGUGCAGUACCAAGAAAACAUUGCUAUUCUAUAAGAACG